CGUUUGUGGUUGUCCGAACUGUGAGGCGACGACGGAGCCGUCUCCGCGUCCUUCUCCUCUUCGCCUUCCUCCUCGGCCAGGGAAAAAGAAAAACACAAAUAGAGUGAGCAAGCAGCUGGCGUGGGCAGAGGUCAGAGAAGAAUGAGCAGACUGGUUCUACCUGGAAGCACGGAUGGGCUACACCAGCAGAAGACCCCGCUAAGAGCCGCUCCAGUCAGUGAGAACAGGUAAGUGAGGCUGCAGUUCACAGGCUCAACAGAAUUUAAGAAUAACAUAUGGGAAACUUAAAUUCAAAUAAUCUUAGCCUCGGUGUGCUUUUAUUUCUAGAUCAGAGUUCAGACUUCUGAGACAAGUGCUUCAGUUGUAGGAUACCUGUAAUAUCCCCCCAAAACUAAGACAGCCAUGCAAAGCACUCACUACAGCAGUCACCUGCUUCCAUGCUCCUGGCGCUGCUAAAAUGAAUAAAAGAUUUAGAAUAAAACCUAAAACUGCUUUACUAAUUUGCUGCGGUGGCAAGCUGUGCCACUUACAGGCUUGCGAGUUAGCACAAACAACUCUUUUUACUUUUGUAGCGACAUCUACGUUACCAUCUCCACCAAAAUGAUAUGUUGUUUUUUUUUUGUUUUUUGCUGAGACUUUUUCAGUUUCUUUUGGAGGUCUAUCUGCUGAACUAUCUCAAAAGGCAGCCGUCUUCUUCCUGUUCCAGUAACAUAUUUCAGGUCAAAUCAGGACCAGGCAGGUUUCUUGACCCUUGCAGAGUUUCUUACCUGGUCGGCGGUGACGCUUUUCCAUCCAGAUGUAGCAGUUGUUCUGUGCCACG